GAAGAAUUAGUUAAAAUAAAAUAACAUCAGAAUGUCAAACUGAAAUAAUCGAAAAGAUAUCCUUCU
rnacentral:tRNA from 1 species